AGAGAAAACUUCCCGGAGCGAUGUCUGGAAACAUCAAACCACCUGCUGGCCAAGCCAUACCAGGUCCGCAAAGGGCUCCAUCUAAAAAUGAAAAGAAGAACAACGUCCCCGAGGACUUUGACAUUGACAUGCAGGACCCAGAGACGCAGAGAGCUGCAGUAGCCAUCCAGUCGCAGUUCAGGAAAUUCCAGAAAAAGAAGCAGGAUGUGAAGUCAUAGAGCAAAUGUCAGGAGACUUAUUACCCUCCUGAUCCGGUCUUGGUUUUGCAUGUCAAUCAAACCGCACUGUCAAAAGCUGGGAGGAGAGAAGGCAGGUAGAGGUGGGUUUGGAAGGAUGGGCUAAAAAAGGCUUCUGUGAAACUCUUUGUACAUCAAUACGUUUGUUAUAAGCAUAAAUUCUAGUAAAUAAAGAUGUUCUGCUAUUUAAAAACUCAUGAUAAAAGUAUUGUGUAUGAAAAUGUUUCCUUCUCUUUAGUUAUCUGUUUACCUUCAGGGACACUUCAGGGUGUUGGCGCUUCAGAAGCUCUAAAUUAGUCACUUCUGUUAAGCCAGAUUUAUUCCAUUAGAACCAUGUAGGCCAAAGAUGUCAUUCAUUGUUGGUGAUUGGGAAUAAAGGUCUGCGUUUGGGGAAGAACAGAAUGUCACAAGCAUGUCUGACUAUAGCUAUAGUUGCAGCACACUUUGGGUUUGCUUUCGUGCUGCUACAAUGCUAUCACAUUGUCAUGUGAACCCUCUGCUGACCCUUUGAUAUGAACCGCUUACAGCCCUGCAAAAUACCCUGCUUGCAAAGAAAUAUGUUUUUGGGUUUUGCUACAACAAAAUGCGUUGAAUGUUAUUAUGUUAUGUAAUGUUACCUCUGAUAUAUAUUUACUGUACCUGCAAACAGAGUUAUGCACGCAAGUUUGAACACAUGGAUUUAAAAACUAAUCUGAUUAAUAAUAAAGAA